AUUGUGUACCCUCUCCCCGCUUUGUAUCCCUGCCCUGAGGGCCUCACAGCCAGAUCUCCUGAGAGCAGAGUGAAGAGGAAGCUCAGUAUUUCUCAGGCAGGCCAGCAGGUCGGAAGUGAUUGGGGUCUUUGCCACUCCUGCCCCAUUCAUUGGCAGCCUGAUCGGCUCAGACAAAUACUUCCAUGCUCGGGGGAACUAUGAUGCUGCCAAAAGGGGACCUGGGGGUGCCUGGGCUGCAGAAGUGAUCAGCAAUGCCAGAGAGAAUAUCCAGAGACUCACAGGCCGUGGUGCGGAGGACUCGCUGGCCGAUCAGGCUGCCAAUAAAUGGGGCAGGAUGGCAAAGACCCCAAUCACUUCCGACCUGCUGGCCUGCCAGAGAAAUACUGAGCUUCCUUUUCAAUCUGCUCUCAGGAGACCUGGCUGUGAGCCCC
rnacentral:lncRNA from 1 species